rnacentral:rRNA from 1 species
ACUCCUACGGGAGGCAGCAGUGAGGAAUAUUGCGCAAUGGGGGCAACCAUGACGCAGCAACGCCGCGUGAGUGAGGAAGGUUUUCGGACCGUAAAGCUCUGUCGAGCGGGAAGAAAUGCAUGGUGGCUAAUAUCUAUCAUGCUUGACGGUACCGCUAAAGGAAGCACCGGCUAACUCCGUGCCAGCAGCCGCGGUAAUACGGGGGGUGCAAGCGUUGUUCGGAAUUAUUGGGCGUAAAGAGCGUGUAGGCGGCUGAAUAAGUCAGAUGUGAAAUCCCUGGGCUUAACCCAGGACGUGCAUUUGAUACUGCCCGUCUUGAGUGUGGUAGAGGGGGAUGGAAUUCCCGGUGUAGAGGUGAAAUUCGUAGAUAUCGGGAGGAACACCAGAGGCGAAGGCGAUCCCCUGGGCCAUUACUGACGCUGAGGUGCGAAAGCNGUGGGGAGCAAACAGGAUUAGAUACCCUGGUAGUC